AGGUGUGUAGCAAAGCCAGGCCUAAUGCAGCGGGCUGUUAACCCGUGAUCGUGAGUUCGAAUCUCACCGCACCUACCA
rnacentral:tRNA from 2 species